rnacentral:rRNA from 1 species
GCAAAGUUGUGUAGUGCGAUCGGUGGAUGCCUUGGCACCAAGAGCCGAUGAAGGACGUUGUGACCUGCGAUAAGCCCUGGGGAGUUGGUGAGCGAGCUGUGAUCCGGGGGUGUCCGAAUGGGGAAACCUGGAAUGUCCGGAGUAGUGUCCGGUGGCCCUGCCCUGAAUGUAUAGGGGUGUGGGUGGUAACGCGGGGAAGUGAAACAUCUUAGUACCCGUAGGAAGAGAAAACAAGUGUGAUUCCGUGAGUAGUGGCGAGCGAAAGCGGAGGAGGCUAAACCGUGUGUGUGUUCAAGCCGGCAGGUGUUGCAUGUGCGGGGUUGUGGGGGCCUUGUGGUUCUGCUGCCGCAGGAUUGGCCAGUGAGAAAUGUUGCGUGAAGGUGAAGCGUCUGGGAAGGCGUACCGGAGUGGGUGAGAGUCCUGUAACUGUAAGCGUGGCACUGGUGUGGGGUUGCCCCGAGUAGCGUGGGACUCGUGGAAUUUCGCGUGAAUCUGGCGGGACCACCCGUCAAGCCUAAAUACUCCUUGGUGACCGAUAGUGGAUGAGUACCGUGAGGGAAGGGUGAAAAGUACCCCGGGAGGGGAGUGAAAGAGUUCCUGAAACCGGUCGCAUGCAAGCCGUCAGAGCCUGUGUGGUGAUGGCGUGCCUUUUGAAGAAUGAGCCUGCGAGUUAGUGAUGCGUGGCGAGGUUAACCCGUGGUGGGGGAGUCGUAGCGAAAGCGAGUCCGAUAAGGGCGUGAGUCGCGUGUUCUAGACCCGAAGCGGUGUGAUCUAUCCAUGGCCAGGAUGAAGCGUCGGUAAGACGUCGUGGAGGUCCGAACCCACUUCAGUUGAAAAUGGAGGGGAUGAGUUGUGGAUAGGGGUGAAAGGCCAAUCAAACACCGUGAUAGCUGGUUCUCCCCGAAAUGCAUUUAGGUGCAGCGUUGCGUGGUUCUUGUUGGAGGUAGAGCACUGGAUGGUCUAGGGGGCUUAUCGGCUUACCGAAAUCAGCCAAACUCCGAAUGCUGGCAAGUGUAGCGUGGCAGUGAGACGGCGGGGGAUAAGCUUCGUCGUCGAGAGGGAAACAGCCCAGAUCAUCAGCUAAGGCCCCUAAGUGGUGACUCAGUGGGAAAGGAUGUGGAGUUGCGUAGACAACCAGGAGGUUGGCUUGGAAGCAGCCAUCCUUGAAAGAGUGCGUAAUAGCUCACUGGUCAAGUGAUUCCGCGCCGAUAAUGUAGCGGGGCUUAAGUUAUCCGCCGAAGCUGUGGCAACCUGUGUGGUUGGGUAGGGGAGCGUCGUGUCAGUGGUGAAGCUGCCGGGUGACUGUGUGGUGGAGUUGAUGCGAGUGAGAAUGCAGGCAUGAGUAGCGUGUGACGGGUGGGAAUCCCGUCCGCCGAUUAUCCAAGGGUUCCAGGGUCAAGUUUGUCUGCCCUGGGUGAGUCGGGUCCUAAGGCGAGGCCGACAGGCGUAGUCGAUGGGUAACCAGUUGAUAUUCUGGUACCGGCUUGUCACCGUCCGUGUCGAGGUGUGUGAUGCUAAGCAUGUGAGCUUGUCUUGGGAGUGUUUUUGAUGCUUCUGGGGUGGGUGAGUGUGUGAACCGAUCAUGUAGUAGGCAAGCUGCGGAGGGACGCAGUGAGGUAGCUCAUCCCCGGUGAUGGUUGUCCGGGGCUAAGUGUGUGGACUGUCUGGUAGGUAAAUCCGCUGGGCGUGAAGGUUGAGGCAUGAUGGGGAGCCCAUGGUUGUGGGUGAGUGAGUGAUCCUGUACUGUCGAGAAAAGCUUCGUGAGCGAGGUGGCGGGUCCGCCCGUACCCUAAACCGACACUGGUGGAUAGGUAGAGUAUACCGAGGCGAUCGAGUGAAUCGUGGUGAAGGAACUCGGCAAAAUGCCCCCGUAACUUUGGGAUAAGGGGGACCUGAGCUGUCGUGCACCCGUGCGGUGUGGUGGCGGUGAGGGGCGCAGAGUCCAGGGGGAAACGACUGUUUACCAAAAACACAGGUCCGUGCGAAGUCGUAAGACGAUGUAUACGGACUGACUCCUGCCCGGUGCUGGAAGGUUAAGGGGAACUGUGAGUGUAUGCGUAGCGGUGAACUUAAGCCCCAGUAAACGGCGGUGGUAACUAUAACCAUCCUAAGGUAGCGAAAUUCCUUGUCGGGUAAGUUCCGACCUGCACGAAUGGAGUAACGAUUUCCCUACUGUCUCCACCAUGAACUCGGUGAAAUUGCAUUACGAGUAAAGAUGCUCGUUACGCGCAGCAGGACGGAGAGACCCCGGGACCUUUACUAUAGUUUGGUAUUGGUGAUUGGGACGGUUUGUGUAGGAUAGGUGGGAGACGUUGAUGCGGCCACGCUAGUGGUGGUGGAGUCGUUGGUGAAAUACCACUCUGAUUGUUCUGGUUAUCUCACUGUGGACCGUGAUCCGGUUCAAGGACAGUGCCUGAUGGGUAGUUUGACUGGGGCGGUCGCCUCCUAAAGGGUAACGGAGGCGCCCAAAGGUUCCCUCAGCCUGGUUGGUAAUCAGGUGGUGAG